GUUUAGUAGUAAGGUAUAUUUUUGAAAUUUAAAAAUUUUGACGGUAUUUUAAUUUUUCAGAGGAAUUUGUUUUUUAAUUGAUAAUCCACAUUAAAUCUUACUUAAUUUUGUUUAAUUUGUAUAUCGUUGUUGCAAAAUUGUCUUUAUAGAGGAUCAAUAAUUGUAGUAAAUUAAUUUUUAUUAUAGCAGAUCAAGGUGUAGUUUAUAUUUAAGUAAAAAUGAAUUACAAUGAAAUUAUUUAUGGAAUGAGAUAUUAAAUUGUUUUUGGAAAGAGGAUUUGAUAGUAAAUUUUUAGAUAAAGAAAAAUUGAUAAAUAUUUAAAAUAUGU
rnacentral:rRNA from 1 species